rnacentral:rRNA from 1 species
GAUGAACGCUGGCGGCGUGCCUAAUACAUGCAAGUCGAGCGAACGGACGAGAAGCUUGCUUUUCUGAUGUUAGCGGCGGACGGGUGAGUAACACGUGGAUAACCUACCUAUAAGACUGGGAUAACUUCGGGAAACCGGAGCUAAUACCGGAUAAUAUUUUGAACCGCAUGGUUCAAAAGUGAAAGACGGUCUUGCUGUCACUUAUAGAUGGAUCCGCGCUGCAUUAGCUAGUUGGUAAGGUAACGGCUUACCAAGGCAACGAUGCAUAGCCGACCUGAGAGGGUGAUAGGCCAAACUGGAACUGAGACACGGUCCAGACUCCUACGGGAGGCAGCAGUAGGGAAUCUUCCGCAAUGGGCGAAAGCCUGACGGAGCAACGCCGCGUGAGUGAUGAAGGUCUUCGGAUCGUAAAACUCUGUUAUUAGGGAAGAACAUAUGUGUAAGUAACUGUGCACAUCUUGACGGUACCUAAUCAGAAAGCCACGGCUAACUACGUG